rnacentral:rRNA from 1 species
GUCUAUGACCAUGCCACCCUGAACGAGCCCGAUCCCAUCUGAUCUCGGAAGCUAAGCAAACUCAGGCCUGGUUAGUACUUAAAUGAGAGACCACCUAGGAAGACCAGAUGCUGUAGGCA